CCCUAGUAGCUUAGAAACAAAGCAUUGGUCUUGUAAUCCAAAGAUCGAAGGUUUAAGUCCUUCCUAGCGCCAGAAAAAAGAGAUUUUAACUCUCACCCC
rnacentral:tRNA from 1 species